rnacentral:rRNA from 1 species
GGCUCAGGAUGAACGCUAGCGGCAGGCUUAAUACAUGCAAGUCGUGGGGCAGCAUGAGUAGCAAUACUUGAUGGCGACCGGCAAACGGGUGAGGAACACGUACACAACCUUCCUUCAAGCGGGGAAUAGCCCAGAGAAAUUUGGAUUAAUACCCCAUAAUAUAUUUGAUAAGGCAUCUUAUUAAUAUUAAAAGCUUCGGCACUUGAUGAUGGGUGUGCGGCUGAUUAGAUAGUUGGCGGGGUAACGGCCCACCAAGUCUACGAUCAGUAGCUGAUGUGAGAGCAUGAUCAGCCACACGGGCACUGAGACACGGGCCCGACUCCUACGGGAGGCAGCAGUAAGGAAUAUUGGACAAUGGACGAAAGUCUGAUCCAGCCAUGCCCGCGUGAAGGAUUAAGGUCCUCUGGAUUGUAAACUUCUUUUAUAUGGGACGAAAAAGGGCAUUCUUGUUCACUUGACGGUACCAUAUGAAUAAGCACCGGCUAACUCCGUG